rnacentral:rRNA from 1 species
AUACGUAGGGUGCAAGCGUUAAUCGGAAUUACUGGGCGUAAAGCGUGUGCAGGCGGUUUUGUAAGACAGUGGUGAAAUCCCCGGGCUCAACCUGGGAACUGCCAUUGUGACUGCAAGGCUGGAGUGCGGCAGAGGGGGGUGGAAUUCCGCGUGGAGCAGUGAAAUGCGUAGAGAUGCGGAGGAACACCGAUGGCGAAGGCAAUCCCCUGGGCCUGCACUGACGGUGAUGCACGAAAGCGUGGGGAGCAAACAGGAUUAGAUACCCUGAUAGUCCACGCCCUAAACGAUGUCAACUGGUUGUUGGGGAUUUAUUUUCUCAGUAACGAAGCUAACGCGUGAAGUUGACCGCCUGGGGAGUACGGCCGCAAGGUUAAAACUCAAAUGAAUUGACGGGG